rnacentral:rRNA from 1 species
UACGUAGGGUGCGAGCGUUAAUCGGAAUUACUGGGCGUAAAGCGUGCGCAGGCGGUUUUGUAAGCCAGAUGUGAAAUCCCCGGGCUUAACCUGGGAAUGGCAUUUGGGACUGCAAGGCUUGAGUGCGGCAGAGGAGACUGGAAUUCCUGGUGUAGCAGUGAAAUGCGUAGAUAUCAGGAGGAACACCGGUGGCGAAGGCGGCGACCUGGGUCGAUACUGACGCUGAUGCGCGAAAGCGUGGGGAGCAAACAGG